GAUUUAUACAGAAGUGGCGAGAGAACAGGCUCCGUGACCCACUGGCAACCAUCGACCGCGCGAAAGGUGCCAAUUCCUGCCCGACCCGGCUUCCGCCGAAGGGGCAUAUAACUC
rnacentral:ncRNA from 1 species